rnacentral:lncRNA from 1 species
AAACACUGCAAGUCCACCAUUCGUACAGCAUCGAUACCGUCUUCUGCGGAAUAAGUCCUGCUCUCUACUUUGACAAGCGUUGAAAUCCGUAUAUUUUAAAUGCGUCUGGUUAGGCUAUCGUUGUAACAAUUGUAGCUUACUAGACUGCAUCGCAACAAUCUUCGUUUGCAGGACCCUCCUGGAGAUGGACUAUAACACAACCGACACCAGCAUAUGGUCUUCUGAUAUCAUCAAUGGCUGAUGACCACAACGCCGGCUACUUCCUCAAAUGGUUGGUUCGGAACAAGACGCUGAAGACAUUCUGUCCACAUGAGGCCUUCUUAAAGUCUCGACGCCGUCAGCCAUUGCUCCGUUUCUUCGUUCCUCAAGUGCCUAAUGGGGUGCGUGUUCAGCAGCCUGUUCUACGUGGUGAAGCCCUCGCAAGCUUCGUCUGCAACCACAAUGUCAUCGACGGCAUUCAGUGACAGCGCGGAUGUGGACAGCGGAGUUGCGGUCGAGCGGCAGCCUCCAGUGGAGCCAGAGCCAUCUCACUGGACGAGAACAGUGGGUAGAAAAGGGAACACCGCUAUUCCCUCAAAGGCACUUGU